rnacentral:rRNA from 1 species
GAUGAACGCUGGCGGCGUGCCUUAAUACAUGCAAGUCGAACGCUGGAGAUCUAGCUUGCUAGAUCGAAGGAGUGGCGAACGGGUGAGUAAUACAUAAGCAACCUACCCACGAAGACUGGGAUAAUCUCUGGAAACGGGGACUAAUACCGGAUAGGUAAUCGGAAGGCAUCUUCUGGUUAUUAAAGGUUAAAAACACUGGUGGAUGGGCUUAUGGCGCAGUAGUUAGUUGGUGAGGUAACGGCCCACCAAGACGAUGAUGCGUAGCCGGCCUGAGAGGGUGAACGGCCACAUUGGGACUGAGACACGGCCCAGACUCCUACGGGAGGCAGCAGUAGGGAAUUUUCGGCAAUGGGGGAAACCCUGACCGAGCAACGCCGCGUGAGUGAUGACGGCCUUCGGGUUGUAAAGCUCUGUUGUAAGGGAAGAACGGUAGAUAGAGAAUAUCUAAGUGACGGUACCUUACCAGAAAGCCCGGCU